GAGAGGGAACGGAGGAGACAAGAGAGAGACACAUUUUUGCACUUUUCUCUUGGUCCAUCCAUACAAAAUAACCAGGUUAGGAUAUGGCCAGUGCAGUGCAGUAUGCCGUUCUGCUGAUGAGUCUUACUCUGGCCGUGCAUAAUUGUGGAGGAAUAUCACAGAAAACCAGGUGUGUUUCGCAACCAACAUGUUUCGACUUGCUCACUUUCGAGAAAAUAGUCCAGCGCAUCAGGAAAGACACACCAGCUGCAGAUUAAGAGAACAUCCUACUGAAGAGCAGAACAUUUGACAAAAUUCGCAAACAGAAGUAUCUUCAUAGCUGUGUCUUAAGGAAAAUCAUUGACUUCUAUGAGAAUGUUCUCAAUCAGACACAAGACAACUCCAAUGACCAUUAUUACAUUAGUCCACAAGGUGUGGACUUCCAUCUUCAGCUCAUCUCCAUCAUGAACAAACUGAGAAACUGCACAUAUAAGAUGAACAGAAGAUGCGAGACGUUGUAUCAAAAGGCUGCACAGCAACCUAAAUUGGAGGUAAUCUGUAAGGAAGUCACCUUAAUAAAAGAACAGACCCUGAUAGCAAAAUCUGCUAUGUACUGGUGGCCCAAAUACUGCUUGAAUGAUGGACAAGAAGUGAGCAAGAUGCAGGUUUUGGUUUUGGAAUCCAUAUAUAUAUAUAUACAUAAAUCCAAACAUAUUUUAUAUCUGCCCCUACAACUUAGCCAGACUAAGUUUUGUGUGUGUUCAUUCCUAAGGGUGGCGUGUGCUGAUUCUUGUUGUGAUAGAAAGGGAGUGUGUUUGGCUUACAUGACCAUUCAAAAUGAGAUUUUCAGAGGCACAUUCCAAUUCCAAGCGUUAUCAAAAAAUCAAAAGACCAAAGAAACCCACAAAUGUAACAUUUUCACUGUUACAAACAUGACUACGAUUGCAUUAUAUUAGCUUAAUGUAUUUUUAAUGUAUAAUGUAUUUUAAUAUGUCUUAGUUACUUGCUAUCUAAAUUUAUCAUUUCAACACCGUUAGUAGCCUGGUAGUUGAAGGAUUGUCCUAUUUCUUAGAGGGCGGGUUUUGACCCUCAAAAACAAGGGUUAGGGGUAUCAAUGGGAAAUGGGAUUGGGCCCAAUGGUAAUUGAUAAGUGGUAUUUUGAUCACUAGUAAAUGUCAGAAACUAGAUGCCCCAGGUUUGUGUCUAGCUGUGAAAAGCUAACAAGUUCCUCUAUAAAAUAAAAUAAAUUCUAACUCAAUAAAUGCA
ensembl:lncRNA